rnacentral:rRNA from 1 species
UACAGAGGUCUCAAGCGUUGUUCGGAUUCAUUGGGCGUAAAGGGUGCGUAGGCGGCGCGGUAAGUCGGGUGUGAAAUCUCGGAGCCUAACUCCGAAACUGCAUUCGAUACUGCCGUGCUUGAGGACUGGAGAGGAGACUGGAAUUUACGGUGUAGCGGUGAAAUGCGCAGAUAUCAGAAGGAACACCAAUGGCGAAGGCAGCUCGCUGGGACGGUACUGACGCUGAGGCGCGAAAGCGUGGGGAGCAAACAGG